GACGAGUGGCGGACGGGUGAGUAAUGUCUGGGAAACUGCCUGAUGGAGGGGGAUAACUACUGGAAACGGUAGCUAAUACCGCAUAACGUCGCAAGACCAAAGAGGGGGACCUUCGGGCCUCUUGCCAUCGGAUGUGCCCAGAUGGGAUUAGCUAGUAGGUGGGGUAACGGCUCACCUAGGCGACGAUCCCUAGCUGGUCUGAGAGGAUGACCAGCCACACUGGAACUGAGACACGGUCCAGACUCCUACGGGAGGCAGCAGUGGGGAAUAUUGCACAAUGGGCGCAAGCCUGAUGCAGCCAUGCCGCGUGUAUGAAGAAGGCCUUCGGGUUGUAAAGUACUUUCAGCGGGGAGGAAGGGAGUAAAGUUAAUACCUUUGCUCAUUGACGUUACCCGCAGAAGAAGCACCGGCUAACUCCGUGCCAGCAGCCGCGGUAAUACGGAGGGUGCAAGCGUUAAUCGGAAUUACUGGGCGUAAAGCGCACGCAGGCGGUUUGUUAAGUCAGAUGUGAAAUCCCCGGGCUCAACCUGGGAACUGCAUCUGAUACUGGCAAGCUUGAGUCUCGUAGAGGGGGGUAGAAUUCCAGGUGUAGCGGUGAAA
rnacentral:rRNA from 1 species